CAGAGCGCUGAGGAACGCGCCCCACUUGCCUCCACGUCAGCUCCUGUUAGCCUGGAAGGGACCAUACCCUGUCCCUCUGCAUCACGGGGCUUCCAGAGCCUGACCAAGAGCUGGUGAGAACAGCACAGGUGCCUGCAAGGACGUGGCCACACCACAGACAUGCUCCCCAGGACGGGCAGGGCCCCUGCUCCCAAUCCAUCACUGCAGCACCCUGCGAGCCGCCGGCAGCACCCCGAGCGUCCCCGCUGGCUGUCAGGAAGGAACCACUCUCCCUCCACCACUGCUGCUUGUUUUACCAGCCUGGGCCCUUAAGGUUUGUGCCUGAUGCCUCACCAGGAAAAUAUGUGCAGGAGUGUGGGACGGGCAGAUGCUGCACCAGGGAGGUGCCGCCACUGCUGCCGUUUGUGGCCCUUUGCCCUGGGAAGCUUAUGGAAGAUACCGACGGCAAAGAGCCACAUGAAGCCAGGAGGUGUCCCGGAGGGCAGCGCAGAGCCCAGCAGGGCAGGGAGAGGAGGUUCCCAGCCUCUCCCACCACAUCCCAAGCCCCCGGGGUCCAGCGGGCUCUGAUAAAUCCCGGCUCACGAAGAAGCACUGAAGCCGGCCAAGAGAGCAAUUCGCAGUUUGCACUCGUGCAAGAAUUUGAUGCGGCGGGAGCAGAGGAAAGCCGUGGAGCUGCCGGGACCUCGGUGUGCCGAGCUGGGCAGCAUCGGG